GGAGUCUGGGCCGUGUCUCAGUCCCAAUGUGGCCGUUCACCCUCUCAGGCCGGCUACUGAUCGUCGCCUUGGUGGUCCAUUACACCGCCAACUAGCUAAUCAGACGCGGGCCCAUCCCGUACCACCGGAGUUUUUUCGCACUGUGCCAUGCAGCACUGUGCGCUCAUGCGGUAUUAGCAGCCGUUUCCAGCUGUUGUCCCCCUGUACGGGGCAGGUUACCCACGCGUUACUCACCCGUCCGCCACUCAGUCCAUGGGUGCUUCCCCCCGGAGGGUUCCGCUCCCAUGUCUUCGUUCGACUUGCAUGUGUUAGGCACGCCGCCAGCGUUCAUC
rnacentral:rRNA from 1 species